UACGUAGGUGGCAAGCGUUAUCCGGAAUUAUUGGGCGUAAAGAGCGCGCAGGUGGUUGAUUAAGUCUGAUGUGAAAGCCCACGGCUUAACCGUGGAGGGUCAUUGGAAACUGGUCGACUUGAGUGCAGAAGAGGGAAGUGGAAUUCCAUGUGUAGCGGUGAAAUGCGUAGAGAUAUGGAGGAACACCAGUGGCGAAGGCGGCUUCCUGGCCUGUUCUUGACGCUGAGGCGCGAAAGCUAGGGGAGCAAACGGG
rnacentral:rRNA from 1 species